UUGUUUUCUGUUCAUAUUAACAAGUGAAGUCGUGGCCAGAGGAACUUUAGUGAAUAAACAUAUCACAUAUGUAGUUUGAGGAAGCAUGCUUGGAGAGCAAUAUGUUGGUGUUUCUAUUCAUCACAGCAUUCCAAAUCUUGACGAUGAGAGACUUAUUAGAUUGUAUGAAAAUAAUCCAAUCCAGACAGUAAGGGAUACUAUUGAUUAUGUUAUUGCUUGGCCUCAAUCACAUGUCAAAAAUACCCGAGCCAAUCGCUCCAACAACACUACAAAAACAUUCCUACUCCAACACAACCAGAAAACAAUGGAAAGCUAAGGCUUUAGAGGACUGCAUUGCAGGAUCCAGGAGCAGCUGCAGAUGGAUUAAUUUUUAAAUGAACAAAUAUAAUGAAUUAUGUAUAGAUUUUAGCAUCAUAGGAAAACUUGGUUCUAGUUUGCAGGAUAUUUUCUUAUUUAUUUGUAUCUUUCAUAUGAAUGUCUGAUUUGAUUCAGUUGUGAACUCCGCACACUUUUAAUACAUGUAUUUGUUCCUACUAAUUAGUCCACUGGAUUUUCUAGUGAGGAUGCUUGUGCGAAUGGAAUU